AAUAGUGUGCUUGAUAAAAAGGUCGUCUUGAUAGGGCGAAACAUGCGAGAUCCUCGCCACUGUUA
rnacentral:tRNA from 1 species